rnacentral:lncRNA from 1 species
GGCAGAAGCAAUAAGAAUCAUAACAUUUACUCGAUAUAAGGUAACAUAGGAAUAAUCAAAGCAUCACAGUCCAUUAUAAACACAGAGUGUCUUGUGGGAGGGAGAUAGUGGCCAUACAUUAAUAGAAAUCUAUUAGGCAGGUAUAAGUGAGGAACAUCUAUUUGGAAUAUCUUACAAUUUUAACUGCAAAUCUUGGUGUCCUUGGUUCAUUUAGUAACAAUCUAUACCACAUAAGGCUGAAUUUUAUAUUGACAGCUGUCCUUAUGGGUCUCAUUUCCUUCUUAUAGGAAAUCACUUUCUUCUGUUUUCUAGUAAAGAAGUAAUAGUUUUUCUUUCACCCUUAACAAUACACUGAGAAACUUUUUUCUUUAAAACAAUUUCAUGUAUGUAUGUGUUCAGUCUCUCAUCUACCACCCACCCAUCCACCUUUCCAUCUAUAUUUCUAUCUAUCUUCAUCUUUCCAUCUCUAUCUAACCAGUAUUUUGCUGGAUAGAUUUUAUUUUAAAUAGAAUAGAUCUAUUUAGCUAUCAGUCCAUAAAUCUAUGCAUUCAUAUUUCUAGCAUCUAUCUCAGUUUUCUAUCUAGCAUCUAUAAUCUAUCAUCUACCUAUCCAUCCACAUUUGUAUUUAUUAUCUACAUAUCUUCACCUCUUCCAUUAUACAUCUCCAGUUUUCCAUAUUCACCUAUCUAGAAUCUAUCUAUACAUCUGACUUACAGUCCAUAUAUCUAUCAUGUAUCUAUCAUCUACCCAUGUAUUUCUAUAUCUAUCUUUCUACUUACCUAUUUAUCUAUCUACCCAUCCAUCCAUCUAUCUAUUCAUCCAAACAUUCUCCUUAUUCAUUACAAGCAGGUUUCCUCAGUUUGGCUCUCUGGGAAAUGCAGAGCAGAUGACUUAGCUUAUGCUUUUUUUUUUUUUUUUUUUUUGAGACAUCUUUAAGCUAAACCAAGCCCAUCCUCUGGUAAUAAGAUCACAGCAAUGUAGAGGCAAAGCUUAUCUUACCCUGUCUAUUCAUUCUCCUACCCCCACUCCCACCCCAACCUUGCUCCCAAACUAUGGUGGCAAUAGGAGGUCAACCAGGCACUUUUUUGAGAAUUUCCCUUUCUCUCAGGCUGUAGAUGGCACUAGAUAGCCUAUUUUGUAUAAAAUCUAGAAACUAUAGAGCUUUCUUAGCUGAUCAAACCUUUCUUCAGCCAAUCAUUGUAAAGUGAUGACUUCCCCUAUCCCAAUCAGCAAGUUCCUAGCAAGAGAAAACAUUCUUUCCUAGCCUUGUGUAUAUUUUGUCAGUAGCUUCUUACAACCCCUCUGUUAAGCUUAUUCUAUUAAUUAUCUUGCUUUUCUUUUAAUUUUUGCCUCAUAUCUUUUAAUGUAUUAAAUCAGAGUUCUCUGGUGGUUAAUGAUUUAUAUUUGCCACAUAAGGUAAAGCUCAAGAAAUUUAACUUUUGGUUACUGAAGAACCCCAAAAUCUUUAUACAAUCUCUGUUAUUUGAUAGUUUCAAAAUUGUAAACUAUAAAAUUCUAAAAAACAACAAAAACAGAAACAUGCAGAUGAUUUCAUGAGCCAUAAUGCCCUACAACUGUUGAUCUCCUCGAUUGAAUUUCAAACAGGUCCUUUCAGUACAUUUUUUCUGAGGGAAAAUUCUCUAUCAGGUCUUCAGAGGUCCAUUUCUCUUCCAUUUUUUAGGAAAUAUUUUUCUUCAAUACUAUUUCUUCACAUUUUGAGUUUUAAAAGUUUUACUUAUAUAAAUGUUAUUUUAUUGUCCCCUUUCAGCAACCUAAUGGUUCACAUAAAGACAAUAUCUUGAAAUCAUAGGAUUGUAAACUUAGUUAGGUGGUAUGGUGAAUGGAGAAUGUGCCCUGGACCUUAUAAAAGUCUGAGUUAAAACCUAUCUUCAGAUACUUACUCGCUAGGAGACCUUGAACAAGUCACAUUACCUCUCUUUACACCCAUAAAAUGGGGAUAACAACACCUUCCUCUCCGGAUGGUAAAACUGAGUUAUUUGUCAAGUGCUUUGAAAAUUGUAAACACUAUAAAUUCUAGUUAUUAUUAUUAUUACCGGAAGGAACCCUAGAGGUCCACUAGUGAAAUCUUCUCAUUUUAAACAUAAGGAAACAAAUCCAAGGUAAAAUUGGUUCUCUUUGGGGUAUGUGAUUAAAGGAUAGAGAAAUAGUUAAGAGAUGUGAGGGUCAAAAUGGUAAAAUAGCCUUUAUGAGAGGAUUGAUAAAAAGAGGUGUCCCUCUGCUACCUACUACCAGUAUAAAAGUCACAACCACUUUGCUACUCAUUUUCCUUAUUUGUUAAGUGAGGUUGAACUAGAUAUUCUCCGAUUGUAAUUAUUUGUUAAUAUGAAGACUCAUUUCCCUGACCUGCUAUGGGAAAAAUGCUUUGCAAAGUUUUAAUUGCUAUAUUAUAGUUGUCAGUGAUAGUUGAUGCUGCUGUUCUACUACUAUUACUACUUUACUAUUAGUUAUUUCUACUCCUACUUUUACUAUUUCUAUUCCUAUUAUUACUACUAUUAUUAGUACUUCCCUUACUGCUAUUCCUACUACUAUUGCUACAAUUAUUACUAUUACUACCACUACCAUCACUACUACUGCUACUACUACUAAUUAUAGGUUCCCUAUUACUUUAGAAUUCCCCAGGUUCAGUGAAGGAUGCUUUGGGACCCAGUCACAGUUAUGCAAAUAUAGAUCAACUCCACAUGCAAUUAAUUCUCUACUAACAGACCAGAAAAGCUUUUGAUUGGGGUAGAAUAGAGAGGUAAAUGACGUAAGAAAGCUCCUUCAUCCACAAACUUCCACAGAUUCACAUGUUGCCUUCUGAGGAGUCUUUCCUAGAAAAUCUAUCUUACUAUGGUAACAUAAUAGCAUCAUGUUCCCGAUUGAUCGGAUGUCUUCUCGAGACUUCAUCUCCCCACACGACGGACCUUACUGCCGCUGCUCCAUCUGAGUCUGCAGUUUCCCCUACCUCUAAAGCUCUUCUGAAAAGCUACUGUUGUUGUUUCCUGGAGUUGCGAUCUACAUGUUAAUUUCCAUUAAGUACUUGUCAUUUUAGAGGUCGCUUGUUGGGUUUCUCCUUCAAAGGGAGUGCUGUUGCUCUUUUUUUCCCCUCCAUCACCAGCAUCCCCUUUAAUAAAACAGACAAACUAGCGGGUGACAGGGAGGGGAAAGGGGAUGGGAAUAUCGCCAUUUACAACCACAAAAAACCAAUUUGCACGUGGCUAACACCUGUUAGCGGGGGAGCGGGGAGGGAGGGGCAGGGCUGCCCCAGCGCCGGUGGGCAGCAGCGGCGGAGCCCAGGACCCCGCCGCAUCUAUUUGUAAAGGAUGUCGUAGUGUCCGGGUCUGUACAGAAGGUACACCUUGGUCUCGGAGCCCUCAGAGAAGACGUGGGUGUUGGUGGUGCCGCCCUCACCGCGGUCCAUGUACUCCACCUGGAUGGAGAUGCUGAGGGCCUGCGCCAGCGCCAUGAUGUGGAUGUGGUCACUCUCCUUGCACAUGGGCUCCACCUCCUGCUGACAAAACUCCUUGACCGUCUGUCCCCCCUCGAUGAAAUGCUCGAAGAACUUGCUCUCACGCUGCAGGUGGCCUGAGGUGAGCAGCCGCAGGUAAACCACCAGGUAGUCGGAGGUGCUCUGGUCAUUGAAGGAGGCCAGCAGUUCCGUUGCUGAGGUUCCCCUCUCCACCUGUUCGAUCAGGUCCAUGAAUGUGUUGUGGAAAUCUUCAAUUGUGAACUCGGCGAAGCCCUGGGCCACCAGGUCGUCCUUGCUCUUGGCGGAGACGGCUUUGAGCCUCUGCAGCUCCUUCUUGUCCUCCAGAAGGGCCUCCAGGUGGGAGAAGCCGAAAGCCCGGUAGAAGCAGUUGCCAUCGGGCCUGGUCUUUCGGAUGUAGGAGUACUUUUUGUGUAGGUCCUUGAUCUUCUGUUGGUAGAUGUUGUCAUCUUCGGCGUACUCCUUGUAAAGCACGGAGAGCUCCAGGCGCUCGGACACCAGGGGAUUUUGAACAGCAAUCUCUUGCUGAAUUCGGUCCUGCUGGGCCAUGAUGGCUUCAUCGUAGGCCAAACUGUUAAUUCCUUCAGAGUCACUUUCCAAUGGCUCCGGAUUCUGCUGAUGAGGUUCCUCCGCCGCCAUCUUUAAACAGCAUAUGGACUGCCUCGCCAACGAGCGUGCAACUGCGCAAUCAGCUCUGGUGUCAGUUCCAUAGUCACGGCGGGGGUGGCCCACAAAAAGCUCUUUUUCCCAACCUACUCACUAGCUUCCCAGAACAAAGUUUCAGAUACAGACAGUGAUCUCCAGUGCUCUUUGAUCCAGGGUAACUUGAAGCCAGCAUAGCAGGUAGAAGGGGAUUGCCAGCCAGCCCGACAGGACAACCCCCAAAGUCAAAGUAUCCAGGAUCCAAAUCCAAGGAGGGAUUGGAAGUGAGAACAACCUGAAACAGAAGACAAAUACCUCAGCACAUUUCACCAAGUGAGGGUAAAAAAGACGGAGACCACUAGAAAUGUGAAAAAGGAAGCCCAAGGAAGUUGUGACCUGCCCAAAGUCACAGAGGAAGUCAACUUCAUAGGCAAAAUUUGAACCUGGAUUCUUCAGCUCAAACAUGAGAAAAAAAUUAAAUAAUCAAUUAUUGGGAAGAUCUAGAGUUGUCAAAGAUCAGCGACAAGACAAGUCAAGGUGGCUGGUGAUGACCUAGGAUUUGGUGGAUGACCUUGGUGUUUUUGACCAAGCUCUCAGUGCCCUACAAUAACUCCGAGGUGUUCAGAGGGACUAGCAGCUCUGGUGUGAGGGCGUGUUGAGUCCUUUUGGGGCUGGUCGUCCACCUUUGAGGUUUGCCUGUUACCUAACGGUCCUUGGACUCCAAGAAGUUUUACUAUGGCCAGUGGCCAGUGGCCAGCCCUUGGUACAACCAGGUGGAGGCUACCACAAGCCUCAGACCCACUGGUGAGUUAUGGGAACAUCUAUCCUACGUGAAGAUGCCUUCUGGAGAGCAGGCAAAUGAGAACCACUUGUUUUAGCAGCCGUGAAUAAUAGCAAUAUACUUACAACCUCAAUGAAUUAACAAUAUCCUCAGCAGCACCCAAUGCCUGACUGCCAUUCUCUGCAGGCCUGCUCCUCCUGGGCCCUUCUGGAACCAAUUUUUCUGUGUGUCCACCAUGAAAAGCCCCCAACACACUGAAGUUAUUCUUCUAAAUUGCUCCUAUCAGUGAAAUGAUCAUCAAAUGUUUGAGAAUAUUAACUCUGCUUAAACUUCACCAGAUCUCUCUUACCUCUAGACUCUCAAAGGGAUCUUAGGGAUCAUCUUGGCCCCAUCCCUUGUUGUAUAGAUUUGGAAUCUGGGGCCACAAGAGCUUAAGUGACUUGUGAGAAUCACAAACACGGUAAGUGAAUGAGUACCAGAGGAGGGAACUGAGCCCAGGUCUUCUCAUUUUAAAUUCAGCCUAAAUUUCCACCCUACCUGGUCAAACAUAUACUCAUGUUUUUCCCUUUUGGACUCUGUUCAUAUUAUUUAUGUACAUACAAUAUAUGGACCUUGAUAUUUAUAUGUUUUCUCUCCAUUAAAAUAAAUUCUUCUGGGAAGCAGAGAUUGUCUUGUUUUUGUUGGUUUUUCUUUGGAUCCCC